AUUCCAGCUCCAAUAGCGUAUAUUAAAGUUGUAGCGGUUAAAAAGCUCGUACUUGGAUUUCUGCUAGGGACGAUCGGUCCACCCACUGGGUGUGUAUUUGUGUCGGCCUUGGCAUCUUCCUGGCGAACGCAACUGCACUUGACUGUGUGGUGCGGUAUCCAGGACUUUUGCUUUGAGGAAAUUAGAGUGUUCCAAGCAGGCUCGCGCAUUGAAUACAUUAGCAUGGAAUAAUUAGAUUGGACCUGAGUUCUAUUUUUGUUGGUUUCUAGAGCUGAGGUAAUGAAUAAUGGAGAUAGCUGGGGGCAUUCGUGUCAGAGGUGAAAUUCUUGGACUUGUUCAAGACGGACAUCUGCGAAAGCAUUUGCCAAGGAUGGUUUCAUUA
rnacentral:rRNA from 1 species